UUUUAUUUUCCAAAUUUGGAACUCCAAAAUGUACCGAAAUUGUAGCAUCUUGGCGUCCAUUUCCUAUUCACAUCUGAAAGAUGUAAAACUGUAUCGAAGCGUCUCAAUGCCCAUACACAGGCACCCGCAUGUUAUAUAUUGAUAUUGUGGUUUGUGAUACAAGAAAGGUUGUUGGGAAACAACCGUAUGAGAGAUUACAGGGGGUUUAAGAUAGAGAUAACUAGAGAUUACAAUCUAUCUCUAGACACAACCGAAACAGGUACAGAACUACAUGUACCUAUACGCCACCUGUACCCAUACAUUUAACACCCUCCCAUAAUCAUAACUUGGUCAAGUUAAGAUUACGCUUGAAUUCUUCAAAUGGUCUGGUUGGUAGUGCUUUUGUAAAACCAUCUGCGACUUGAUCUUUUGAAUGCACAAACCUUAUCUCCAAUUCCUUGCUUGCAACUCUUUUCCUCACAAAGUGAUAGUCAAUCUCAAUGUGUUUAGUCCGUGCGUGAAAAACAGGAUUAACUGAAAGAUACGUUGCACCUAGGUUGUCACACCAAAGACAUGGAGUUGGAGAACGAUAUAUCCCAAGCUCCUUGAGCAUGGACUUAACCCAUAUAACUUCUGCCGUUGCAUUUGCCAAUGCUUUAUACUCUGCUUCAGUACUUGACCUGGACACCGUAGCUUGCUUCCUUGCACACCAUGAAAUUAAAUUUGGUCCAAGGAAUAUGGCAAACCCUCCUGUAGACCUUCCGUCAUCCACACACCCUGCCCAAUCGAGUCAGAGAAAGCACUAACUAAUGUGGAUGAUGAUUUAUUGAAAGUCAAGCCAAGCCCCAAGGUGCCCUUUACAUAUCUCAGUAUGCGCUUAGCUGCUGUCCAGUGUGAUGUUGUAGGUGCAUGAAGAAAUUGGCAAACUUUGUUUACAGCAAAACAAAUAUCAGGCCGAGUCAAGGUUAAAUACUGAAGUGCACCAACUAAACUUCUAUACCUGGUGCCAUCCUCUUGAUCCAAGAGUUCUCCUUCUGCAAGAGACAAUUUUUCUGUGCUAGGUAGUGGAGUAGGUGAUGAUUUACAUCCCUGCAAGCCAGCUCUUGUUAGAAGAUCCAUUGCAUAUUUUUCCUGAGACAGAUGAAGGCCACCUUCCUUAUUUUUCUCAACUUCUAUGCCUAGAAAGAAAUGCAAGUCUCCCAAGUCUUUAAGAGCAAACUCUGAGUUCAAAUCCUUCAACAAGGCUGUCACUGCUUCAUUCGAUGAACUUGUAACAAUUAUAUCAUCAACAUAAAUAAACACAAAAACAGAUAUAUGUGACUUAUUAUAAAUAAACAGAGAUGUGUCAGAUCUUGAAGGAGCAAAGCCAAGUGCUUGGAGCUUUGAACUCAAACGGGAGUACAAUGCUCUAGGGCCUGUUUGAGCCCAUAAAGAGACUUAUCCAGUCUGCAUAUAUGAAAAGGUUUGUUCUUAUCCUCAAAAUCAGGAGGCUGGUUCAUGUAAACUUCCUCUUCCAGAACACCAUGCAGAAACGCGUUCUGCACAUCUAGCUGUCUGAGGCACCAUCCUCUGGAUACGGCAAUGGACAAAACAAGGCGUAUAGUGGCAGCUUUAACAACAGGACUGAAUGUAUCUUCAUAGUCAAUGCCAUACCUCUGCUUGAAUCCCUUUGCAACCAGUCUGGCCUUAUAUCUGUCUAUAGUAUCAUCUGACUUUUUCUUUAUUCUGAACACCCAUUUACAAUCAAUCAAAUUUUUACCUUGCUGUGAAGGAACUAGAUGCCAGGUUUUAUUUUUCUGAAGUGCUUGAAAUUCUUCUUCCAUAGCUUUUCUCCAUCUUGCAUCCUUGCAUGCUUCCUGGAACGAACUAGGUUCUCCUGUGGAACAGGUUAAGCCAAAGUUUACUUUGUAAUUAACAGGUUGGAUCACCCCAGCUUUUAACCUUGUACGUGGCGGAGUUAUAACUUGCUGCACCACUGCAUCAGGAAUUGGCGCAGAAGAUCCUGAAGACUGAUUCGCUACAGGAGUUCCUGGCGAUCCCGAAGCAGAUUCGCUGGUGGUGGCAGCUGCGGGAUCUUCUGCGGCUGAGUCAGGACAUGCUGUGGAGGUGCGUGGCACAGAAGAUCCGGGCGGUCCGGUUGCUGGGCCCGACCCGUGCGCCUCCAUGCCCGCGCGGGAUGGGUGGCUGGCGCGCCUGGCGUAGACGUGCGGGGUCGCACCGAACCGGUCGGGGACAGGCGGGUCCCCGCCCUGACGCGUGUCGGACGCAGAUGGGUCACCGCCAUCCGUCCAGGCCUGCUGUCGCGGCAGCGAUCCCGGAGCGGAUGCUGUCGGGUCUGCAGCUCCUGAUCCCGAGGAAGAUCCAGGUGCAGAAUUGGCACGUAGCGGCCACAUGAAAUUGAGGCUGUUUGGACUAUUUUCUUCACCAUUUGUCCUCAAAUUUUUUUCUGCUGCAUCCUGAGUCGACCCUGCAUCAUCACAAUCCUCAUUUUCAUGGUUAGAAGCAUUAGUCAUUCGAUCAGUACAAUUGUCAUCCCCAUGCUGAAAACCGGUCAAAUGAGAGGGUAGGAGAAGAAUCUCUUUUUGUAGCAAGGCACCAGCAUUAGGGUGUAAAUGAGCAAAAGGGAAGAUUGUUUCAUCAAAGACCACAUCGCGUGAGAUGUAUACCCGACCAGUGGAAAUGUCUAAGCAUUUAACACCCUUAUGCUUUGCACUAUAGCCGAGAAAAGCACAUUGUUUGGAGCGGAACAUAAGUUUGCGGUUGUUGUACGGACGCAGGUUAGGCCAGCAGGCACAACCGAACACAUGAAGGGAGUGAUAAUCUGGUCGAGUAUUAAGGAGCCUAUGCAUGGGUGUAUCAUUGUUGAUGACACGGCUUGGAAGCAUGUUAAUGAGAUGGACUGCCGUAAGAAACGCCUCAUCCCAAAACUUGAGGGGCAUGGAAGCGCCAGCAAGUAGGGCUAGGCCUACUUCAACAAUAUGGCGAUGUUUACGCUCGGCCGAGCCAUUCUGUUGAUGUGCAUGGGGACAAGAUACGUGAUGAGAAAUACCCAAGGUUUGAAAAAAUGAAUCAAGUUUCUCAUACUCACCGCCCCAAUCAGAUUGGACGGCGAGAAGUUUUGUCUCGAAUUGACGUUCAACAAGUGCUUGAAAAUUUUGAAAAACUUGGAAAACGUCAGAACGUUUUUUGAGAAGAUAAAUCCAAGUAUACUUACUAAAAUCAUCUAUGAAACUAACAUAGUAAGUAUGAUGUCCAACAGACAUAGGGGCAGGACCCCAAACAUCAGAAAAGAUAAGUUGUAAUGGUCUAGUAGAAACACUAGUAGAUAUUGGAUAUGGUAACUGAUGAGAUUUUGCUUUCUGACAAGAAUCACAUAUAGUUUCAAGACUACGCUCACCAACACAUGGGAGCUGAUUAUUUCUAAGCACUUGCUGAACGAUAACAAAAGAUGGAUGUCCUAAUCUUGCAUGCCACCGCUCCGAAGAGAGUUUGAUGACACCAAAAACUUAUUUAUUGAAACUUGUAAAUUUGGGAAUCAAUGGAUAGAGCCCAUGCACGCAUCUAACUCUGUAGAGAAUGUUCCUCGUGACCUGAUCUCGAAUCAAAAAGAAAUAUGGGUGAAAUUCUAGAAACACUUUGUUGUCAAGGGCAAUACGAUGAACAGAGAGAAGUUUUUUUUGUUCUGUUUUGGGAACAUGCAAGAUAUUUCUAAGAUGGAUAUUGCGACUAGGGGUUUUGACAAUUGCAUGACCAAUAUGAUUAAUCUCCAUACCUUCACCAUUCGCAUUGUGAACUUGAUCUUGGCCAUGGUACUUCUCGCUCAUCGUCACCUUCUCGAGCUCGUUGGUGAAGUGGUUGGUAGCCCCGGAGUCAACGUACCAGUUUGUGUCAACUCCGUAUGACAUGUCCGCUGCUGCUGCAACUUUCUUUUUGGAGUUGCUCUCGGCAUAUCGCCAAUCACAAUCCUUGGCGAUGUGGUUAUUUUUCUUGCAAAUUUGACACUUUUCAUAUUCCUCAUACCCUUGGAAGGGACGCCCCCUGUUGUUGUUGUAGUAGGGGCGUCUGUUGUUGCCGCCGCCGUUCUGGUAGUGACCACCGCCAGCACCGCCGCCGGCGUUCUGGUAGUGGCCGCCGCCACCACCUCCGCCGCUGUUGUAGUUGUUGUAGCCGCCGGCGUUGGAGUUGUUGUAGUGACCGCUGUCGCCGUUGCCGCCGUUCUGGUAGGGGCCGCCACCACCACCACGAGAUCCACCGCCACCACUCCUGUUGGAGUUGCGGUAGCGGCUGGAGUUGUUGUUGUUGCCACGACCUCGGGAUGCAACAUUAGCCGAGGACUUGAAAGCCCCUGCCCCUGUCCCGUGGAACAUCUCAACGCGCUGGUCGAAGUUGGAGACCAUGCCAAAGAGAUCAUCCACCGAGAGGGGAGCAGUGCGUACGUCCAGCGCCGAGAUCAGAGGUUGGUAGUCCAUGUCGAGCCCUGCAAUGAUGUGAGAAAGAAGAUUUGCUUCUGUUAUGGGGUUCCCGGCGGCAGCUAGCUCAUCCGAGAGUGCUCUCAUCUGCCCAAAGUAUGCGGAUGCGCUCAGGGAGCCUUUCUAUGCAUUGGUGAGGGAUUGGCGGCAGUUGUUCACACGAGAACGGAAUUGGGUAGCGAACAUAUUUGCUAGGGCUGACCAUAUGGCAUGCGAGGUUUCUAGGGAGGCAACUUGAAUCAGGACCUCCUUCGAGAGAUUACGAAGGAGGAAGGCUACGAUCUGCUGAUCUUGAAUCAGCCAUGGUUUGUAUUCAGGGUUAGGAGCGAUUUGAUCCUUUCCUUCUGAGGUCUUGGUGAUGAUGGUUUUGUUUGGCUCGGGUGUGGUUUGAUCUAUAUACCCAUAUAGCCCAGCACCCAUGAUCUGGGAGCGAGCUUGGGCUCUCCAUAGGAUGUAGUUGGUUCUUGUGAGGGGCUCGGAUGUGGUGUUGGUAAGGGCAAUGGAUGGAGUUUGGCUGGAGGUAGACAUGGUUGGAGCUAGGGUUUUCAGCGGGGAGGAAGAAGGAUGAUCGAGGCUAGAUGUGGCGGAAGAGGGAGGCUCUGAUUACCAUGUAAAACUGUAUCGAAGCGUCUCAAUGCCCAUACACAAGCACCCGCAUGUUAUAUAUUGAUAUUGUGGUUUGUGAUACAAGAAAGGUUGUUGGGAAACAACCAUAUGAGAGAUUACAGGGGGUUUAAGAUAGAGAUAACUAGAGAUUACAAUCUAUCUCUAGACACAACCGAAACAGGUACAGAACUACCUG
rnacentral:lncRNA from 1 species